CGAUAGAGGGUGACGCACGGAAUAGGUGUAGUGGAGAAGAGGGACGAUCGGUGUGUGUGUGCCUGUGUGGGUACUGGCACGAGGUCAGGUGCCGCGGCGCAAGGGGAAGAGAUAAGGGAGGAGAGAAUUUAGGAGGCUCGAAAACAGCCGGUCAACGCCGCGCCGACGCAUACCCGAGGACCACCGGCCCGGACGCGCGCCCCCGCUUGACCCCGACACCGCCUCCGCGCCGUCGCCACCGGCCGCCGACGAACUGCCCCGGCGCACCUAGACGGCGGCCCCGACGCCUAGCCGCACCAACAAAGUCGGGACUCAAAAGCUGCGGCUCCGGUAGUUAUUAGGGUUUAGGUAACGGUUCAGACUUUCCGUCCACAACUGUAUGCUUGUGCAGUGCACAUGGAAGCUGCGGCCCCCACUACGUAGCGUCGAGUGCAGCUUCCUCUGGGCUGGCCGUCGCGCUAUGCGUUCUGUCAGCCGCCCGCGAAAACAUCUGGGCUUUGGGGUGCGCGGGCCCUCCCUGGGGCAGUCCCGCGCGCCGCCGAUACCCGACGGGAUCCAGCUGGACUAGCGGGGAUCCCGGAGCUCCAAGCGGCGGGACGUUUUCUUCUUGUUUGCUUCUUGCUCCUUCUUCUAUGUUCCUAUCCCCUAUCUACUUGUGCUUUUUCAUCAUCUACACAAAUAGGCUAACCAUAACAAAGUUAGCCGGCAGUGGGGAUUGUAUAUAUUCUCCACCGACCUGAAGGGCAUGUUCGUUUCUUAAAUAGAUCCGAAAGGAAUGUUCUUUUUAAUGUAGUUAAGUGCAGGUUUUG
rnacentral:rRNA from 1 species